GACGUAGGGCGCGAGCGUUGUCCGGAUUUAUUGGGCGUAAAGAGCUCGUAGGCGGCCUGUUGCGUCCGCUGUGAAAGCCCGGGGCUUAACCCCGGGUCUGCAGUGGAUACGGGCAGGCUAGAGGUAGGCAGGGGAGAAUGGAAUUCCCGGUGUAGCGGUGAAAUGCGCAGAUAUCGGGAGGAACACCAGUGGCGAAGGCGGCCAUCUGGCUCGGUACUGACGCUCAGGUUCGAAAGCGUGGGGAGCAAACAGG
rnacentral:rRNA from 1 species